CGUCUUCUAAGGGCCCACCAACCACCUGCUUAACAAAUGUAUCCAAAAUGUUGUCAAGGGAACUUAGUUCAGCUGUGUCCAUCUGUAACUUUUGGAUUCCAUGCUGCUAUUGCCUUGUAGGUCUAUGGCUAAAGCCCUACAUCAAAGGACACAUCAGUGAGAGAAGAAUAUGCAUAGUUGACCUAAAGGCUCUGGAAAACCUGGCUAUGUUUAUGUUUCGAUUAGCUGAGGACUGAAGUCAUGGAGACCUACAUUUGGAAGUCAUCAAAUAUUUGCUGAGCCUUUACGAUGGUCGAUGUGCUGCGAAUAGAACAGCAGGAAAUCAAUACAGUAUACAAGCGGUUGCAGGGAGCAGCCUGUUGUGCCAACCUCUGGAGAUCUUUACCACCUUCUCAUGCGCCUAACUUCAGCCCCGUGACCCCUCUCAGCAUGGACACCUUUUGAAGAUAAUAACAUCACCUACUUCGCUGAGUGAUGAACACAUUGUGGUACAGCCAUCAAGUGGGAUGGUAUCAGAAGUGAUAAUAUCACUAUUCGGGCUACGGAAACUCCCACCCAUCUGCAAUCAGAAGACUCAGAAAACAAGAUGCAGAGAGCUCAAAGGAUAAUUAUCCUUUUUGAAUAUCGACACACAUAUUGUUCCAGACGCAAAAAGGGAUUCCUGUGAAAAGAUGCCAUUAUUAUUUUGGUGAUUGUUACUGUACCCCAGAAGGAGAAGAAAGCUGAUUGAAGUUGUUGGCGUUGCAGCUCAAGGCUCUCUCUUCAGUGUGGCUGGAGGCAGAAGAUGAAACACAAUGCUUUCCCAGGCUUGAUGAGAAGCUGCAGGGAAGCCAAGGCUGCCAUAGGAGCAAUGGGAACCAGAGAAGGUGGAUGUUUGCAUCUUCAAACAUUCGAGACUCUUGCCAGCAGACUGGUGAAUUGACCAUUAAGAGCUGAUGGUAAACUCUGGGCACAAUUUAUGCCUGAGUCAUGAAUCCAAAUCAGAGGCACUGUUAAGUGAA